rnacentral:rRNA from 1 species
AAGACCUUGCGCUUUUGGAGCGGCCGAUGUCUGAUUAGCUAGUUGGUGGGGUAAUGGCCUACCAAAGCUUCGAUCAGUAGCUGGUCUGAGAGGACGGCCAGCCACACUGGGACUGAGACACGGCCCAGACUCCUACGGGAGGCAGCAGUGGGGAAUUUUGGACAAUGGGCGCAAGCCUGAUCCAGCCAUGCCGCGUGAGUGAAGAAGGCCUUCGGGUUGUAAAGCUCUUUCAGCCGGGAAGAAAAGGCUGCGACUAAUAAUCGCAGUUCAUGACGGUACCGGAAGAAGAAGCACCGACUAACUACGUGCCAGCAGCCGCGGUAAUACGUAGGGUGCGAGCGUUAAUCGGAAUUACUGGGCGUAAAGGGUGCGCAGGCGGUUUUGUAAGUCAGAUGUGAAAUCCCCGGGCUUAACCUGGGAACU